CCCGCGCUCCUCCGGGCAGAGCGCGUGUGGCGGCCGAGCACAUGGGCCCGCGGGCCGGGCGGGCUCGGGGCGGCCGGGACGAGGAGGGGCGACGACGAGCUGCGAGCAAAGAUGUGCCCCGGGACCCCCGGCACCUUCCAGUGGAUUUCCUUGCGGAAAGGAUGUUGGCGGUCCCUGUGACCUGUGGAGACACGGCCAGAUCUGCCCUCCAGCCUGAUCUUUUGGCCAGAAGGAGAUUAAAAAGAUGCCCCUCAAGAUGGCUGUGCCUGUCAGCUGCAUGGAGCUUCGUUCAAGUAUUUUCUGAGCCUGAUGGAUUUACAGUGAUCUUCAGUGGUCUGGGGAAUAACGCUGGUGGAACCAUGCACUGGAAUGACACACGCCCGGCACAUUUCAGGAUACUAAAAGUGGUUUUAAGGGAGGCUGUGGCUGAAUGCCUCAUGGAUUCUUACAGCUUGGAUGUCCAUGGGGGACGAAGGACUGCAGCUGGCUGAGAGGGUUGAGAUCUCUGUUUACUUAGAUCUCUGCCAACUUCCUUUGGGUCUCCCUAUGGAAUGUAAGACCCCGACUCUUCCUGGUGAAGCAUCUGAUGCACGUUCCAUCCGGCGCUCAGCUGGGCUUGAGCUGACCAUACUCCCUGGAGCCUUCUCCCGAGGUGCGCGGGUGACCUUGGCACAUACAGCCAUCAUGAUGGUACUUUAAGUGGAGGCUGAAUCAUCUCCCCUUUGAGCUGCUUGGCACGUGGCUCCCUUGGUGUUCCCCUUUUACUGCCAGGACACUGAGAUUUGGAGAGAAUCCUGUUACACCUGGGAUUUAGGCACUUUCAAUCUGAAAAAAUACAUAUCCUUUCAGCACUCUGGACGGACUUGAGAACUGUCCUUACGUGACCUAAAGCUGGAGUAUUUUGAGAUUGGAGAAUUAAGGAUUUUAAAGAACUCCUGGCCCACUCGGAACUCUACGCUUGAAACAGAAACAUCUUCUCAAAACACCUCUGGCCAACAGAGAUUUUGAGAAACACAUUGAAGGAUCUGUUAACACUUGAUAUACCCAAUAAAAGCAGUGGUUGUGCCAGUGCUGAUCUGUCUUGAUGUGAAUGUGAACAAUGGGAACCUGAGCUGAGCAGUUAAUGCUAGGGUGACAGAAACUGGACCUCUCCCAAGACAUGUGACAGAGUAAUACAGCAGCCAACUUCUUCGCCAAAUUAAAGUUUUACAAGAUUUAACCUGUCAUCAAGACCUGGGAUUUUGGUGGUGGAUCCAAUCCAAUCACACGGGCCCUUAAAGGCAGAGGUUUUCUCCGACUGUGAUCAAGAAAAUGCCAUGAAAGAUUGUAAGUGUGAGAAGGAGUUGAUGUGCCACUGCUGGCUCUGAAAUGUGGGGCCCACUUGUAGGAACUGGAGGGAGAGACUGGUUGCUAACGGUGGCCCCUAGCUAACAGCCAACAGAGAAAUGGGGACCGCCGGCCUACAGCUGCAGGGAACUGAAUUCAGCAACAUGAAUAAGUUUGGAAGAGGAUCCUUCCAGAACCUCCUGAUAGGAGCCCAGUCCGCUGUCACCUUGAAUUCAGCUUCAUGAACCAGGAGCAGGGAAACCAGCUGAGCCAACCCACAUUCUGACCUAAGGAGCACUGAGAGCCAGUCUUGGUGCUCUGUGUUCACCUGGUUCAUCUGAGGAGCUGCAUCUACCCUGCCCAUGCCAUAGAUCCUGCCCUGUUUGCUUCUCCUGUUGCUGCUAGUGGACAUGAGAAGGACAGAAUAACGGGCUCCCAGAUUCACAAGCCCCACCAAGAGGAUCACCCCAGGAACGCUUGGAGGCUGAGGAGUUCACUGAGGCUACUGCAUCUUGAGACUCAGGAUGAAGACCCAGCUUGGGGCUGUCAAAGGUUUUUUGCAUGUCUGACACCCAUGACUCCACCUGGACCUUAUGGCUCCACCCAGAAGCAAUUCAGCCCAACAGGAGGACAGCUUCAACCCAUUACGAUUUCAUCUCUGCCCCAACCACUCAGCAGCAAGCACCUGUUACCUGUCCACCCCCACCCCUUCCCCCAAACUGCCUUUGAAAAAUCCCUAACCUAUGAGCUUUGAAUAAGAUGAGUACGAACUUCAUCGCCCACGUGGCGUGGCCGGCCUCGUGUCUAUUAAAUUCUUUUUCUACUACAA
rnacentral:lncRNA from 1 species